rnacentral:rRNA from 1 species
UGGGGAAUAUUGGACAAUGGGGGGAACCCUGAUCCAGCCAUGCCGCGUGUGUGAAGAAGGCCUUAUGGUUGUAAAGCACUUUAAGCGAGGAGGAGGGUACUGGUAUUAAUACUACCAGGUACUGGACGUUACUCGCAGAAUAAGCACCGGCUAACUCUGUGCCAGCAGCCGCGGUAUUACAGAGGGUGCGAGCGUUAAUCGGAUUUACUGGGCGUAAAGCGUGCGUAGGCGGCUAAUUGAGUCGGAUGUGAAAUCCCCGAGCUUAACUUGGGAAUUGCAUUCGAUACUGGUUAGCUAGAGUGUGGGAGAGGAUGGUAGAAUUCCAGGUGUAGCGGUGAAAUGCGUAGAGAUCUGGAGGAAUACCGAUGGCGAAGGCAGCCAUCUGGCCUAACACUGACGCUGAGGUACGAAAGCAUGGGGAGCAAACAGG